UACUUGUAUGUUGGGUAAAACAGACC
rnacentral:piRNA from 1 species